UCAGUCGCAGCCGGCGUCCGCGACCGAGCAGCGCGGUCACGCGGGAGAUCGAGGCGGACCCGUGCGGGAACCAGAUCGGCACCCAGGCGGGCGGGCCCGGGCCGGGAUCGGGGCAGCCCCGGCGAGUCCCGACCCGGAAGUGUGUGCCCUGGGCCUUGCUGGACCUGGAGCCGGGCACCAUGGACAGCGUGCGGUCAGGCCCUUGGGGCAGCUGUUCCGGCCUGACAGCUUCAUCUUUGUUCUGGAUAAGAAGAGAACAUUGCAUUAGCAAAGCUGGGUGGAAUCAGCCGCUCGCAGCCCACUCAGGCCCCCAAGGGAGCUGCAUGUGAGUCCCUCAGCAUUGCUGAUGUCUCAAGGCUGCUGGGCGAAGGUUGCCACUCUGAGCUGCGGCUGCCCACAGGAAAGCUCUCACCAUGAAGCUUCUUGAUUUGAAACAAAAUCAAGAGCGUUUGCCAUACUGGCUUCCUCCUCCCUCACCAUGGAGCGUGCUCACCGCAAGCUUCGGCCCUGCGUGUCCUUCUCACGUCAGCACUCAUAGACCUGUGCACAGUUUUCCUCCAGAAGGACGACCACAGGACUUUCACAGGCUGGGUGAGGCUUCCUCCUCCAGCACGCCGGC
rnacentral:lncRNA from 1 species